rnacentral:rRNA from 1 species
CGCGACCCCAGGUCAGGCGGGACUACCCGCUGAGUUUAAGCAUAUCUAUAAGCGAAGGAAAGGAAACUUACAAGGAUUCCCUUAGUAACGGCGAGCGAACCGGGAACAGCCCAGCUUGUAAAUCAGGUGGCCAUGCCGUCUGAAUUGUAGUCUGGAGAAGCGUCCUCAGCGGCAGACCGGGCCCAAGUCCCUUGGAAGGGGGAGACGGAGAGGGUGUGAGCCCCGUCGUGCGCAGACCCUGUUGCACCACGAGGCACUGUCGUCGAGUCGGGUUGUUUGGGAAUGCAGCCCCAUCGGGCGGUAAAUUAUGUCCAAGGCUAAAUACUGGCGAGACACCGAUAGCAAACAAGUACUGCGAGGGAAAGAUGAAAAGGACUUUGAAAAGAGAGUCAAAGAAUGCUUGAAAUUGUCGGGAGGAAAGCGAAUGGGGGCCGGCGUUGCGCCCUGAUUAGAUGUGGAACGGCGAGAGCCGGUCCCUUGAUCGACUCGGGGUGUGGACUGGUGCGGGUUGCGGCGGCGGCCCAAGCCCGGGUUGUUGAUAUGCCCGCAGAGACGUCGUCGCCGCGAUAGUGAAAGGCAGCACGCGCCGCCUCGGCGUGCUUCGGCAGCUGCGCGCUCCGAACAUCGGCCUUUGGGCUGCCCAUUCGGCCCGCCUUGAAACACGAACCAAGGAUUUGACAUGUGUGUGAGUCAACGGGCAAGAAAACCUGUAAGGCACAAAGAAGCUGAUUCGCUGGAUCCCUGUUUGGGUGCACCUCCGACAGACCUUGAUCUUCUGAGAAAGGUUCGAGUGCGAGCAUGCCUGUCGGGACCCGUAAGAUGGUGAACUAUGCCUGAGCGGGGUGAAUUGUUCAUCUAACUUGGGUAUAGGGGCGAAAGACUAAUCGAACCAUCUAGUAGCUGUUUUGCUCCGAAGUUUCCUUCAGGAUAGCUGGAGCCCGCGUGCGAGUUCUAUCGGGUAAAGCCAAUGAUUAGAGGCUUCGGUGGCGCAACGCCCUUGACCUAUUCUCAAACUUUAAAUAGGUAGGAUGGUGCGGCUGCUUCAUUGAGCCGCACCACGGAAUCUAGAGCUCCAAGUGGGCCAUUUUUUAUAGGCAGAACUGGCGAUGCGGGAUGAACCGGAAGCUGGGUUACAGUGCCCAACUACGCGCUAACCUCGAUUCCACAAAGGGUGUUGGUCGAUUAAGACGGCAGGACGGUGGUCAUGGAAGUCGAAAUCUGCUAAGGAGUGUGUAACAACGUACCUGCGGAAUCAACUUGCUCCGAAAAUGGAUGACGCUUAAGCGCGCGACCUAUACCCGGCCGUCGGGGAAAGAGCCAGGCCCCGAUAAGGAGGAGGGUGCGGCGGUCACCGCAAAACCUGGGGUACGAGCCCGGGCGGAGCGGCCGUCAGUGCAGAUCUUGGUGGUAGUAGCAAAUAUUCAAAUGAGAACUUUGAAAGCCGAAGAGGGGAAAGGUUCCAUGUGAACGGCACUUGCACAGGGGUUAGUCGAUCCUAGGAGACGGGGGAAGCCUUUCUAAUAGUGCGUUCAGCACGGGGGAAAGGGAAUCGGGUUAAAAUUUCUGAACCGGGACGUGGCGGUUGAUGGCAACGUUGUGGAGUCCGGAGACAUCGUCAGGGGCCUCGGGAAGAGUUAUCUUUUCAGUUUCACAGCCUGCCCACCCUCAGUUGAACGUAGGGUCCAACGUCCGGAAGAGCACCACACGUCUUGUGGUGUCCAGUGCGCUCUCGGCGGCCCUUGAAAAUCCGGAGGACUAAGUGCUGAUCAUGACCAGUCGUACUCAGAACCGCAUCAGGUCUCCAAGGUGAACAGUCUCUAUUCGAUGGAACAAUGUAAGCAAGGGAUGUCAGCAAAAUGAAUCCAUAACCUCGGGAGAAGGGUUUGCUCUGAGGGCUUAUAGGAGUUUAUAUGGCCCUGAUCUUUCGAUGAGAUAGGGUUUCGAUUUGGGAGGAGGAGACUACAACUGUCCAGGACAUUGCGCCUUAGCAAUCAUUACACCUACUCCAGAAGUGUUAUUGAUCUUGUGGAAACACAAUCAACCUGACAACGAAGGUCCUUGAUCUGCUAGCAAUUGAAGAACAAGCAAGAACAAGAUGAAUAAGCAACUUAAAUUUCAAAUCUGAAAUAAAAAUAAGAGUUGGCAUUCUGAAGACAAGUAAACACGUGAUCUAGCUGACACGCGCGAAUAUAAGAAAAUGAAGCAGCAACUAACUUUAAUCUAAGCAAAAUCCAAGUGAAAAAGAAUACUAUAACUAUCUAUAUAUAAGGAAGAAAACUAGGGUUUCUCCUAAGCUAAUUAGGAUUUCUAUCACUAAUAAGAUUAAGACGCUAGGGCUUCUCCUAAACUAAUUAGGAUUUCUAUCACUAAUAAGAUUAAGACGCUAUGGCUUCUCCUAAACUAAUUACGAUUUCUAUCACCAAUAAGAUUUGACGCAGUUUGUAGAAUCCAUAUGUGAUGUCCUCAUCAUCCUCCCCUUCUUGCAUUUGAGUCAUCCUCGACUCAAGCUCUUCCUUUAGUGCCAAGUAAUGUAUGACAUAUGCAGUGUUAAAUGUGGAAUAAACAGCUAAAUCUUUCUCAAUCAGUCUUCUAACUUGGCGCUGUAUUUCCUUAGUUUCUCCCAGCUUGGUCCUGUAUGGUAUGGUGCAUCCUCUGAAGAUCCUGCCAUUGUUAGUAUGAAAUAAACAAAAUACAAGAAUAUGCCCCAAUGUGCUGCUCGAAUUGGGUCCUCUCAAGAAAAAAAUAGUUCACUCAAUAAAGUGGUUUCUGAAAUAUAUAUGCCUCUCAGGAAUGUGGUCGCUCAAGUCUCUCACUCUCAACUUCUUCAAAUAAGUUCUUACAAACUCUUACCAAACUUUGUAGGUGGUGAUGGCAGCCAACAAAUAAAAAAUAACUUCUGAAAGUCGAUGUAUCGAUGGUACUCACAAAUACCUUUAAGUUGUAUAUGAAUAUGUAG